UACGUAGGGUGCAAGCGUUAAUCGGAAUUACUGGGCGUAAAGCGUGCGCAGGCGGUUUUGUAAGUCAGAUGUGAAAUCCCCCGGGCUUAACCUGGGAACUGCGUUUGAAACUACAAGGCUAGAGUGUGACAGAGGGGGGUGGAAUUCCACGUGUAGCAGUGAAAUGCGUAGAGAUGUGGAGGAACACCGAUGGCGAAGGCAGCCUCCUGGGCCAGCACUGACGCUCAUGCACGAAAGCGUGGGGAGCAAACAGG
rnacentral:rRNA from 1 species